UCUCCGUUGGUGAACCAGCGGAGGGAUCAUUAAAGAGUUCUAUAACUCCCAAACCCAUGUGAACAUACCUUACGUUGCCUGGCAGGUCGUGCCUACCCCGUAGCGCCCUACCCUGUAGGACCUACCCGGUAGACGCGGGUAAGCCUGCCGGCGGCCCACGAAACUCUGUUUAGUAUUGAAUUCUGAACCUAUAACUAAAUAAGUUAAAACUUUCAACAACGGAUCUCUUGGUUCUG
rnacentral:misc_RNA from 1 species